GGUAAAAAGAAGGAGCUCUCUUCAGUCCAGUCCAGGGCGGUUGAAGGCUAAAACGUAGCUGCUGACUCGUUGGUUCAAGAGAACAUCAUCACUUGAAUAAAUGAGAUGUGUUUUUGAUCCAACGAAGCAGGAGCUUAUUACGUUUAGCUAUGGCUGUCAUGUCUUGGACUGAAGGGAGCUCCCUCCAAUUCUACA
rnacentral:pre_miRNA from 1 species